CGCGCUGUGGAUGGAAUUGGCAGACACACCGUCGUCAGAUGGCGGUGCGGGGCAACCCGCGUGGGCGUUCGAAUCGCCCCAGCGCGACCA
rnacentral:tRNA from 1 species